rnacentral:rRNA from 1 species
AACGAACGCUGGCGGCAGGCUUAACACAUGCAAGUUGAACGGUAUCUUAUGAUAGCUUGCUAUUGUGAGAGAGAGUAGCGCACGGGUGAGUAACACGUGGGAACGUACCUUGAAGUGGGGGAUAACAGUUGGAAACGACUGCUAAUACCGCAUACACCCUGAGGGGGAAAGAUUUAUUGCUUUAAGAACGGCCCGCGGAAGAUUAGGUAGUUGGUGGGGUAACGGCCUACCAAGCCGACGAUCUAUAGCUGGUCUGAGAGGACGAUCAGCCACAUUGGGACUGAGACACGGCCCAA